rnacentral:tRNA from 1 species
GUGGGUAUAGCUCAGUGGUAUAGUGCAUGUUUAGCAUGCACAGGGUCCUGGGUUCAAUCCCCAGUGCCUCCA